rnacentral:rRNA from 1 species
UACGUAGGGUGCAAGCGUUGUCCGGAAUUAUUGGGCGUAAAGAGCUCGUAGGCGGUUCGUCGCGUCGGCUGUGAAAACCCGGAGCUCAACUCCGGGCCUGCAGUCGAUACGGGCGGACUAGAGUUCGGCAGGGGAGACUGGAAUCCCUGGUGUAGCGGUGAAAUGCGCAGAUAUCAGGAGGAACACCGGUGGCGAAGGCGGGUCUCUGGGCCGAUACUGACGCUGAGGAGCGAAAGCGUGGGGAGCGAACAGG